rnacentral:rRNA from 1 species
AUUGAACGCUGGCGGCAUGCCUUACACAUGCAAGUCGAACGGCAGCACGGGAGCAAUCCUGGUGGCGAGUGGCGAACGGGUGAGUAAAGUAUCGGAACGUGCCCAGUCGUGGGGGAUAACGUAGCGAAAGUUACGCUAAUACCGCAUACGAUCUAUGGAUGAAAGCGGGGGAUCGCAAGACCUCGCGCGAUUGGAGCGGCCGAUAUCAGAUUAGGUAGUUGGUGGGGUAAAGGCCCACCAAGCCGACGAUCUGUAGCUGGUCUGAGAGGACGACCACCAAGACUGGGACUGAGACACGGCCGAGACGCAUACGGGAGGAAGCAGGGGGGAAUUUUGGACAAUGGGCGAAAGCCUGAUCCAGCCAUGCCGCGUGCAGGAUGAAGGCCUUCGGGUUGUAAACUGCUUUUGUACGGAACGAAAAGGACUGCCCUAAUACGGUGGUCCCAUGACGGUACCGUAAGAAUAAGCACCGGCUAACUACGUGCCAGCCGCCGCCGUAACAC